rnacentral:rRNA from 1 species
UACGAAGGGGGCUAGCGUUGUUCGGAAUUAUUGGGCGUAAAGGGUGCGUAGGCGGUUUGGUAAGUCUUGUGUGAAAUCUACAGGCUCAACUUGUAGUCUGCACGAGAAACUGCCGGGCUUGAGUAUGGGAGAGGUGAGUGGAAUUCCUAGUGUAGCGGUGAAAUGCGUAGAUAUCAGGAGGAACACCUGUGGCGAAAGCGGCUCACUGGACCAUAACUGACGCUGAUGCACGAAAAGCUAGGGGGAGCAAACAGG